rnacentral:miRNA from 1 species
UAUGUACAUGUGUACGAAUGUGUGCAUGCUCAUGUGUGCAUGUGUUCACACAUCUGUGUGCACACAUAUGAGUUAGUGUGUCCAUGUGCAUGUGUGUAACUACAUACGAGUGUG